rnacentral:rRNA from 1 species
AAAGACUUGACGGUACUUCACAACACCCUAGAGGAGCCUGUCUAAUAACCGAUACCCCACGAUUAACCCCACCCGUUCUAGCCCUACAGUCUAUAUACCGCCGUCGCCAGCUUACCUUGUGAAAGAGAUAAAGUGAGCAAGAUAAACCACCCUUUAACACGACAGGUCGAGGUGUAGCCAAUGAACAGGCAAAAGAUGGGCUACAUUUUCUAUCACAGAAAACACGAAUCUAACCAUGAAAUCAAAACUGAAGGCGGAUUUAGCAGUAAGAUAAAAAUAGAAUGUUUAACUGAAAUUCAUGCAAUGAAGUGCGUACACACCGCCCGUCACCCCUG